rnacentral:rRNA from 1 species
CGUGUAGGCGGUCGGUCAAGUCUGAUGUGAAAGCCCGGGGCUCAGCUCCGGAAGUGCAUUGGAAACUAGCCGACUGGAGCGCGAUAGAGGGGGGUGGAAUUCCUGGUGUAGCGGUGAAAUGCGUAGAUAUCAGGAGGAACACCGGCGGCGAAGGCGGCCCUCUGGAUCGUUGCUGACGCUGAGACGCGACAGCGUGGGGAGCAAACAGGAUUAGAUACCCUGGUAGUCCACGCCGUAAACUAUGGGUACUAGGUGUUCGGGGUGUUGACCCCCUGAGUGCCGCAGCUAACGCAUUAAGUACCCCGCCUGGGGACUACGGCCGCAAGGUUAAA